rnacentral:rRNA from 1 species
AACGAACGCUGGCGGCAUGCCUAACACAUGCAAGUCGAACGAGACCUUCGGGUCUAGUGGCGCACGGGUGCGUAACGCGUGGGAACCUGCCCUUAGGUUCGGAAUAACUCCCCGAAAGGGGUGCUAAUACCGGAUAAUGUCUUCAGACCAAGAUUUAUCGCCUUUGGAUGGGCCCGCGUUGGAUUAGCUAGUUGGUAGGGUAAAAGCCUACCAAGGCGACGAUCCAUAGCUGGUCUGAGAGGAUGAUCAGCCACACUGGGACUGAGACACGGCCCAGACUCCUACGGGAAGCAGCAGUGGGGAAUAUUGGACAAUGGGCGAAAGCCUGAUCCAGCAAUGCCGCGUGAGUGAUGAAGGCCUUAGGGUUGUAAAGCUCUUUUACCCGGGAUGAUAAUGACAGUACCGGGAGAAUAAGCUCCGGCUAACUCCGUG